rnacentral:rRNA from 3 species
GAAUGCUGACAUAAGUAACGAUAAAGCGGGUGAAAAGCCCGCUCGCCGGAAGACCAAGGGUUCCUGUCCAACGUUAAUCGGGGCAGGGUGAGUCGACCCCUAAGGCGAGGCCGAAAGGCGUAGUCGAUGGGAAACGGGUUAAUAUUCCCGUACUUGGUGUUACUGCGAAGGGGGGACGGAGAAGGCUAUGUUGGCCGGGCGACGGUUGUCCCGGUUUAAGCGUGUAGGUGUGUGUUCCAGGUAAAUCCGGUUCACUUUAACACUGAGGCGUGACGACGAGGCACUACGGUGCUGAAGCAACAAAUGCCCUGCUUCCAGGAAAAGCCUCUAAGCAUCAGGUAACACGAAAUCGUACCCCAAACCGACACAGGUGGUCAGGUAGAGAAUACCAAGGCGCUUGAGAGAACUCGGGUGAAGGAACUAGGCAAAAUGGUGCCGUAACUUCGGGAGAAGGCACGCUGACACGUAGGUGAAGU